AUGGUAACAUGUUUACCUGCAAGCAAUAAUCUGCCGUUGUCCAGUGAGUUCCAAAUACCAACGGAUGAGAGAGUUGCCUUUUUCGGAUGAGAAAGGUUGCCAUGUCCAGGUGCUGAAAGUUGACGUAUAUAAUAUCAGCACAAUUUCAUACAACUGUACACUUAAAAAAGUUUGUAGAAAAAAUCAGCGCCCACUGAAAAUGAUUCCAGCUGCACCUCAGCACUACAAAAGGCAAACUUGCAACGGUUACUUUUGUACUCCUUUCAUAAUUCUGACUUUGUUGAUGACAAAUAUACACAUGUAUAUUAAAGCAAACUCUACAUUUUCUCAUUA